GCGAAAACUUUACAAUGCUGGCAACAGCGAUAAGGGAACCUCGAGUGCCAGGUUACAAAUCUGGCUGUCGAGAUGCCUAAAAAGCAUUUCAUAGCAAGGGCCGGGCAAGACCGGUGCCAGCCGCCGCGGUAACACCGGCGGCUCGGGUGGUAACCGUUAUUAUUGGGUCUAAAGGGUUUGUAGCCGGCCGGAUAAGUCUCUUGAGAAAUCUGGCAGCUUAACUGUCAGGCUUUCAGGAGAUACUGUCUGGCUCGAGGCCGGGAGAGGUGAGAGGUACUUCAGGGGUAGGGGUGAAAUCUUGUAAUCCUUGAAGGACCACCAGUGGCGAAGGCGUCUCACCAGAACGGACCUGACGGCAAGGGACGAAAGCUAGGGGCACGAACC
rnacentral:rRNA from 1 species